rnacentral:rRNA from 1 species
GAUGAACGCUGGCGGCGUGCCUAAUACAUGCAAGUCGAGCGAACGGACGAGAAGCUUGCUUCUCUGAUGUUAGCGGCGGACGGGUGAGUAACACGUGGAUAACCUACCUAUAAGACUGGGAUAACUUCGGGAAACCGGAGCUAAUACCGGAUAAUAUUUUGAACCGCAUGGUUCAAAAGUGAAAGACGGUCUUGCUGUCACUUAUAGAUGGAUCCGCGCUGCAUUAGCUAGUUGGUAAGGUAACGGCUUACCAAGGCAACGAUGCAUAGCCGACCUGAGAGGGUGAUCGGCCACACUGGAACGGAGACACGGUCCAGACUCCUACGGGAGGCAGCAGUAGGGAAUCUUCCGCAAUGGGCGGAAGCCUGACGGAGCAACGCCGCGUGAGUGAUGAAGGUCUUCGGAUCGUAAAACUCUGUUAUUAGGGAAGAACAUAUGUGUAAGUAACUGUGCACAUCUUGACGGUACCUAAUCAGAAAGCCACGGCUAACUACGUG